UCAAGCAACGGUNAUUGCUUAGUACGGACGAGUGAGCGGCAAAAGCUCAAAUUUGAAAUCUGGCACCUUCGGUGUCCGAGUUGUAAUUUGAAGAAGGUAACUUUGGAGUUGGCUCUUGUCUAUGUUCCUUGGAACAGGACGUCACAGAGGGUGAGAAUCCCGUGCGAUGAGAUGCCCAAUUCUAUGUAAAGUGCUUUCGAAGAGUCGAGUUGUUUGGGAAUGCAGCUCUAAGUGGGUGGUAAAUUCCAUCUAAAGCUAAAUAUUGGCGAGAGACCGAUAGCGAACAAGUACAGUGAUGGAAAGAUGAAAAGAACUUUGAAAAGAGAGUGAAAAAGUACGUGAAAUUGUUGAAAGGGAAGGGCUUGAGAUCAGACUUGGUAUUUUGCGAUCCUUUCCUUCUUGGUUGGGUUCCUCGCAGCUUACUGGGCCAGCAUCGGUUUGGAUGGUAGGAUAAUGACUAAGGAAUGUGGCUCUACUUCGGUGGAGUGUUAUAGCCUUGGUUGAUACUGCCUGUCUAGACCGAGGACUGCGUCUUUUGACUAGGAUGUUGGCAUCAUGAUCUUUCUCCUCCCGUCUUGAACAACAGACAAAAAA
rnacentral:rRNA from 1 species